UGACUAACAGUACCGAGGGGAAGCAGCCCACUGUGAGGUCUAGAGAACUCCUCGGGUGGAAUUUCACUUCGCUCUCCGUUCACAGCGAGGCAAGUCGGGCGGCGACGAGUUGCUUCAGUUGUUUGAAGAAAUAUUUGCUGCUGCAUCCUGGAGGGAAUUCAUCUUGGAGGAAUCCGAUGAGCUACGAAGCUCUUUUUUGUAACAGGUGUCCAGUUAGGGGGUUUGAGGGGGGGGGGGAUUAGCAAGUUUACCAUAUCCCGGGGAACGCGUUCCAGCCGUUGCUGCUUGUCAACGAGAUGAUCUGUCCUUCUUUAAAGGCCCGGCUCGUGCCGUGUUUUUCCACGGCCAGCACAAAUCGGACCGUCCUGCCGCCCGCUCAUUUGUCCCCCGCCCACCCGCCCGCCCGCCCGCCCACCCGUCCUUGUGUGGUCCCCUGCGAUCCCCUUGUUGUUGUUGUACCCUCCUCCCCUCUCUCUACGCGGCGUCCAGCAGGAAGCGAAAAUUUGCUUCCACUUAUCUCGCCCGCCUGCCCGGCCGGCCGGCCGCCCUCCAAAGCUCGACGCCACAGACCGCGACGCGCCUCCAAACGGCGUCUUGCCUACGCAUCGUAAUAUCUGUCGGGGGUUAUUGCCCCCCCCCCCCAGAGAGGUCUUUAACACAUUUCAAGCCCAGCUGGGCUCUCGUGCGCUUUAGGCCUCAAUCAAUGGCCGGUUGCCCCGCACCUCCGAUUCGCGCGGUUGGCUUCGUACGGUGGUGCGAAAGAAGUUCAACAUACACAGAUAAACUUGCACAGAGACCCCCAUAGACUCGCACAGACCCAUAGACUCGGACACAGACCCCAUAGACUCAGUUUGUUGUAACCCCCCCCCCCGGCACCUCUGAUGAACACGGUUGGCUAUGUAUGGUGGUGCGAAAUCAGUUCAACAUACGGUACAAUUGCUGAAAACCUUAAUCAAUCGUAACCAACAUACCAGCCUCUCCGCUGCUCUUAACAAAUCCCAAACUCCUUCCUUGCCGGUGACACCCAUCACGGAAUCGCGAGCCUCCCCGCUCACCUUUGGCUCGCUAAUUGGUCAUUGGUGUAAACAAAUUCAAAUCUUUCCUACGCCGCCGGUCUCGUUGGAGGAUUGGUGUGGUGGGGAAUGGGGAGGGGGUGGGUGCAUCAUCUAGCAGUGGAUUGACGAAGCGAUGUGACUUGGUCGCAGUUGAAGCUGAGCAAUAGGGUUCUGAAGUUUCACCCUAACCGCUGUCUCACAGGGCCAGACGAUGGCCCUCUCGAAUUCUGAAGGUUUUCUGAACAAAGUUGAGACUCGGGAGCGGGGUAUUUAGCGCAAAGAGAACUCCCCGAAUCGGAGGAAGUUGAGACGUUGUCUGAAGAUGUAUCGGCAUGGGGCAAUAGUAACAGGACCGGUACGGCAAGUCCUCGUUUAACGUGGCGGUGGUAGACGCGUGCGUGAAGAGUGCCGUGUCCAGCGGAAACAGUUUCUCACAAUAAAUAAUGCGGUCACGGUGAAGUUUGGCGAGACACGGUGUACCACCACCACCACUACUACGCACACCGCGCAGUGCGACGGCGGGAUAAAUCACCGAGGGUACGCCACCGCCACCACACUACUGCGUAUUACUCCGCGUUACCGUGUCGCCUCACCGCUCGGCCGCGCAAGGUCAAGAAGGUAGUUUGUCGUCGACCGCUCGGAAACCGCUUUAUAAACCGGCGGUGCUCGCUCGUUCCGCGUUAUAACGGAAGUGCUCGCGUUAUAACGGCGGUGCUCGCGUUAUAACGGCGGUGCUCGCGUUAUAACGGCGGUGCUCGCGUUAUAACGGCGGUGCUCGCGUUAUAACGGCGGUGCUCGCGUUAUAACGGCGGUGCUCGCGUUAUAACGGCGGUGCUCGCGUUCAAACGCUGCACGUGCCGUGGCGUGACGGUGCGUGUUCCCGCAUUACGAUGGUCGCGUGCGCGUUCUGCGUUUGCGUGAAAAGUGUUCCCCAGUGGAAGAAGUCACCGCUCCGUCGCAAAACAUUCCACCGGACUGCCCCCUAUCCCGUCAACCAAAAACUGUCCGCGUGUGUGGAUGUGUGUUCCGUACCCCCUCCUCCUCCUCCUCCUAUGCCUGUCCGGUUUAACAAUUUACAUUCCCUGUAUAUUUAACUGGUACCGCUUGCCGGCUCGGUGCGAACGGGGUGAGGGUUGAAAUGCACCCCGGCACCCACGCACCGACCCGUGCAUCCGUCCACCCAAUUGAAUAUCUGUCCGUGCGUUGAUCACCGCAGUGCGAUGACAGGUCGCGUCCCGGUGGUGGGUCUCAAGUUUUCGGCACUCGGAGGCCAAUGUACACGACACAGCAGUGGUUCUUAACGCAUUUUCACAGAGGGUGCGCUUUCGUCGAUAACACUCGUAAAUGUGUCGUUAAACCCGCGACCACCCGACACAGCCGAUCGGUGAGGGGUUCUUGUCACCCGAAGAAAACGUGGCCAAUUCGUUACUAGCUCAGCAACACAGUGCGCUCGUGUGUUGGAGAGCAGAACCCACUACACACACUCAUAAUGGUAAUGUAAUUUUAGAUAGCGUCAUUCAUCAAUUCGCCCGGUCCCCUUAGGCAGACGAUACAAAAACAAAACGGCUCCCCACUACGUCGAAAAUCGGAAACUAAAAAAAGAUGAAGGCAUAAGUAACGAGAGAGAGAGAGAAAAAAAAAUGCACGUGAGAAAAAUAAACAUCGCAGAGAAAAUGUGUUUUUGUAAAUCAAUAAAUCCGUUCGGUCUCCAUACCCCCGAGGCCACAAUCCCCAACAUUUCGCCGAAUUUUGGAGAAACCUGCACAGGAGACGUGGUGGCGGUGGAGUUGCUGUGUGACGUUUCGCCGGUGAUUAACAACAAGAACCCCAGCCAGCCUCGUCAGCCGGACGGCACAGAGUUGUGGAGAAUUCCUCCCCCCCUGUUUCGCUCUUAAAUAGUCGGGGGGGGGGGGGGGGGUUAAUGUGACUCGAUGUCACUUGUGAGCCAAUCAAGGUGGUGGGAGGACUAGCGAUAGAGGUUGGGGGUGGGUGGGGUUAAUGUAUUAAUCGGUGUGUGUGUUAGGGGGGGAGGGUAGGAGGAAGAAUCCACCACACGUGUUUGUGAAAUCAUUGUCGGGGGUUGUGUGAUAGCAGCACGACGAUGACGAUGUUUAUGGGGGGCUGGUUUUUUUACAUUUGUGUUAUUGUCUGAGAGGGUGGGGGGGGGGGGCACCGGGGGGAGGGGGGCCGCUAGUGACAACGUAGUGGCCAAGGCAGUGAAGAACGGUGGCUCUACGGUAUAGAUAGCUGUUUCUCUGCUCUCUCGUUGUUGUUGUUGGUGGAGGAUGAUGAUGAUAAUGACGCCAAUCUCUUCCGGGCAGUUGGUGGAAACGAGCAAACGUUUUCAGUCGCGCGCACCCCUUUAUCAUUAUUAUCAAGGAGUUUCCGAAAACAUUUUUGGCGAUUGAACAUGUUUCCUUGGCAGGGGGGCAGAUGGAGCAAAAGAGCGCUGCGUGUUGUCACAACAUAUUUGUCCGUUAUUAUAUUUUGUUAAAAAAAACGUAAUCUUCAUCGACGUCUAUUUGAGCUUUUAUUUUUGAAUUUUUUUCAUCGGUUUCAUUAACCCGAACCGCGCCAGUGUUAAGUGCGAGCGUGUGCGUGUGUGAGUUUUCGUUAUGUUUAGUUGUACCAUUUAUUAUAGAGUUAUUAUUAUCACCACCACGACGACUACCACGAUAACCAUGUCGUCAUCAUCAUUCGGUCGUUUUUAUUUGUGCGAUUAAGUAGUCUCCGUAAUGUCCACUAUCUGUGCAAUUAUUCGCGAGCGUCUUAAUAACAAGGACCCGUUUCGGUCUGUUUCAAAAGAAAAAGUGUCUUGUCGUCGUUUUUGUUUUUUUGGAUAAGGGCAAAGUAAUCUUAACGACCCUCGGCAAAAAAAUAAACUUUGACAUUUGAGCGAGAAUAA